rnacentral:rRNA from 1 species
UACGAAGGGUGCAAGCGUUACUCGGAAUUACUGGGCGUAAAGCGUGCGUAGGUGGUGAGUUAAGUCUGAUGUGAAAUCCCGGGGCUCAACUCCGGAACUGCAUUGGAUACUGCCUUGCUUGAGUACUGGAGAGGAGACUGGAAUUUACGGUGUAGCAGUGAAAUGCGUAGAGAUCGUAAGGAAGACCAGUGGCGAAGGCGAGUCUCUGGACAGUUACUGACGCUGAGGCACGAAGGCCAGGGGAGCAAACGGG